rnacentral:tRNA from 1 species
GCAUUGAUAAUUCGGUGGUAGAAUUCUCGCCUUCCAUGCAGGAGACCUGGGUUUGAUUUCUAGCCAAUGCA